UAAGGCCAGUGGAGCUCGUUUCCGGAAGACGUCAGACGCUGCUUCCUCUUGGGGGGUGGUGCGGAGAUUCCCGGGGUUUCUUCUAGCAAUGCACCAGGUUAAGUCGGAGAGGUGAAGAGGAUCCAACAAAGAAGACUGAGAAGGAAUAAUCCAUGAAGUAGAUGGAAAAGUAGGAGAGUUUAGAUCUGCAAAACCAAGGGAAGGAAGUGUUUCAAGAAGGGAGUGACCCAUUGUCUCAAAUG
rnacentral:lncRNA from 1 species